rnacentral:snRNA from 1 species
GUGCUCACCUCAGCAGCACAUAUACUAAAAUUGGAAUGAUACAGAGAAGAUUAGCAUGGCCCCUGAAAAAGGAUGGCACACAAAUUCGUGAAGCAUUCCAUAUUUUU